CAAACUGAAGAUGGCGACCGGCGCACGGGUGAGUAACACGUAUCCAACCUGCCGAUAACUCCGGGAUAGCCUUUCGAAAGAAAGAUUAAUACCGGAUGGCAUACGAAUAUCGCAUGAUAUUUUUAUUAAAGAAUUUCGGUUAUCGAUGGGGAUGCGUUCCAUUAGUUUGUUGGCGGGGUAACGGCCCACCAAGACUACGAUGGAUAGGGGUUCUGAGAGGAAGGUCUCCCACAUUGGAACUGAGACACGGUCCAAACUCCUACGGGAGGCAGCAGUGAGGAAUAUUGGUCAAUGGGCGAGAGCCUGAACCAGCCAAGUAGCGUGAAGGAUGAAGGCUCUAUGGGUCGUAAACUUCUUUUAUAUGGGAAUAAAGUUUUCCACGUGUGGAAUUUUGUAUGUACCAUAUGAAUAAGGAUCGGCCAACUCCGUGCCAGCAGCCGCGGUAAUACGGAGGAUCCGAGCGUUAUCCGGAUUUAUUGGGUUUAAAGGGAGCGUAGGUGGAUUGUUAAGUCAGUUGUGAAAGUUUGCGGCUCAACCGUAAAAUUGCAGUUGAAACUGGGAGUCUUGAGUACAGUAGAGGUGGGCGGAAUUCGUGGUGUAGCGGUGAAAUGCUUAGAUAUCACGAAGAACUCCGAUUGCGA
rnacentral:rRNA from 1 species